UACGUAGGUGACCAGCGUUGUCCGGAUUUACUGGGCGUAAAGAGCGCGCAGGCGGUCGUUCAAGUCGAGUGUGAAAGCCCCCGGCUCAACUGGGGAGGGUCACUUGAUACUGGUCGACUCGAAGGCAGGAGAGGGAAGUGGAAUUCCCGGUGUAGUGGUGAAAUGCGUAGAGAUCGGGAGGAACACCGGUGGCGAAGGCGGCCAGCUGGCGCUGACCUGACGCUGAGGCGCGAAGGCAUGGGGAGCGAACGGG
rnacentral:rRNA from 1 species